rnacentral:rRNA from 1 species
GAUGAACGCUAGCUACAGGCUUAACACAUGCAAGUCGAGGGGAAACGACAUCGAAAGCUUGCUUUUGGUGGGCGUCGACCGGCGCACGGGUGAGUAACGCGUAUCCAACCUGCCCACCACUUGGGGAUAACCUUGCGAAAGUAAGACUAAUACCCAAUGAUAUCCCACGAAGGCAUCCGAAUGGGAUUAAAGAUUUAUCGGUGAUGGAUGGGGAUGCGUCUGAUUAGCUUGUUGGCGGGGUAACGGCCCACCAAGGCAACGAUCAGUAGGGGUUCUGAGAGGAAGGUCCCCCACAUUGGAACUGAGACACGGUCCAAACUCCUACGGGAGGCAGCAGUGAGGAAUAUUGGUCAAUGGACGAGAGUCUGAACCAGCCAAGUAGCGUGCAGGAUGACGGCCCUCCGGGUUGUAAACUGCUUUUAGUGGGAAUAAAAAAGGCGACGUGUCGCCUAUUGUAUGUACCAUCAGAAAAAAGGACCGGCUAAUUCCGUG